UACGUAGGGUGCAAGCGUUGUCCGGAAUUAUUGGGCGUAAAGAGCUCGUAGGCGGUCUGUCGCGUCAGGAGUGAAAACUCGGGGCUUAACCCCGAGCCUGCUUCUGAUACGGGCAGACUAGAGGUAUGCAGGGGAGAACGGAAUUCCUGGUGUAGCGGUGAAAUGCGCAGAUAUCAGGAGGAACACCGGUGGCGAAGGCGGUUCUCUGGGCAUUACCUGACGCUGAGGAGCGAAAGUGUGGGGAGCGAACAGG
rnacentral:rRNA from 1 species